AUUGAACGCUGGCGGCAGGCCUAACACAUGCAAGUCGAGCGGAUGAAGGUAGCUUGCUCCUGGAUUCAGCGGCGGACGGGUGAGUAAUGCCUAGGAAUCUGCCUGGUAGUGGGUGAUAACGUCCGGAAACGGGCGCUAAUACCGCAUACGUCCUGAGGGAGAAAGUGGGGGAGCUUCGGACCUCACGCUAUCAUAUGAGCCUAGGUCGGAUUAGCUAGUUGGUGGGGUAAAGGCCUACCAAGGCGACGAUCCGUAACUGGUCUGAGAGGAUGAUCAGUCACACUGGAACUGAGACACGGUCCAGACUCCUACGGGAGGCAGCAGUGGGGAAUAUUGGACAAUGGGCGAAAGCCUGAUCCAGCCAUGCCGCGUGUGUGAAGAAGGUCUUCGGAUUGUAAAGCACUUUAAGUUGGGAGGAAGGGCAGUAAGUUAAUACCUUGCUGUUUUGACGUUACCAGCAGAAUAAGCACCGGCUAACUUCGUG
rnacentral:rRNA from 1 species